rnacentral:rRNA from 1 species
UACGAAGGGUGCUAGCGUUGUUCGGAAUUAUUGGGCGUAAAGCGUGCGUAGGCGGUUUGGUAAGUCGGCUGUGAAAGCCCAGAGCUUAACUCUGGAAUUGCGGUCGAAACUACCUUGCUUGAGUGUGGCGGGGGAUAGUGGAAUUCCUAGUGUAGGGGUGAAAUCCGUAGAUAUUAGGAGGAACACCGGUGGCGAAAGCGACUAUCUACACCAUUACUGACGCUGAGGCACGAAAGCGUGGGGAGCAAACAGG